UGUGUUUGGAGAUAGGGCCUUUAGGAAAAUAAUUAAGGUUGACUGAGGUCCGAAAGAUGGGAUCCUAAUCUGUUAAGACUGGUGUCCUUAUAAAAGAGAAAAGACACCAGAGAACUCUGUCUUUCUGCCUGGGCACAGACAAAAAGCCAUUUGAGAACACAGGGAGAAGGUGGCUGUCUGAAAGCCAGGAAUAGAGAAGCCAAAAGCCAACAGUGGGAGCACUGAUCUUACAGCCACCAGAAAAAAAUAUUUUUGUUGUUUAAACCACCCAUGCCUUGGUAUUCUGUUAUGGCAGCCUAUGCAGAUUAAUGUACCCUGAGGAUCAAAGGCAGAUAGUGUUACUGCUAUGAAAUAGAGGAGGAGGAGUAUGAAUAGAACUCAGCAUGAACUCUUGUUAUAAUAAUCACUUAGACAAAACCUAACAAAGAUUGCCAUUAUCCUGACAGACAGAUCUACCAGGAACCACUUAAAAAGAAACGUAAGGGCUUUCUUACUAAGCAAGAUUCACAAUCAGUGCAUUACCCAUCAAAAUAAGAGAAGAAAAAAUAGGUGGAAGAUAAAGGACAUCAUUAAUUGGCUGCAAGAAUAAGAAUGAUAGCCUAUGUUCUAUCCUUGCUUGUUAUAUUACUUGGUCAGAAUCAGAAUGUAAGGAGAAAAUGUUUUCAGCUGGAACUUAAAUAGACCGGCCACAAAUAACCCGUAAUUCUCUAUAAAUGGACUGUCAUGCUGAGAACAGCUUUAUGCCACGCUGAUCCUAGCUCCACAAGAGCCGGCUAAGCUACACUUACCCAGUAGCAGGUCACACUCCAGAGCCCACUGGAUUCUUGCUGACACAAUAAGUACGCUUCCAGCUGGGGCCAAGAACAAUCUGGACUCAGGCAGAGUGUGAAUUACAGUGAAGAGCUACCACCCUCCUAACCACAGCCAAUCAACAGAAAAUAAACACAGGUAGGAGAAGGAAUGAACUCCUUUCCACAACAUGAGUACAUCACUUUUUCUCUGUUACAGUUUUGUGGAGGAAAUCAUCCCCUUGGGAUCUUCAGCGUUGUCUCAUUUACCUCCGCUCUCUCUAGAACUGGGUGGUGCAAAAAUGCCUAAGCCUUCUUGGGAAAGGAAACUGAGUGCCACAUGCAUAGGAGGCGUGGCUAUGGGUCAGCUGGUGUACCUCUAAUGCAAGUACCUCACAUGCUUAAAAUGGUUCUUCCUCCUAUCCCUCCUUUCCGUAAACUGCACCCUCUGUUUCACCCAAAACCAAAAUGGUAAAAUCACUGAGAAAACACAAGAGUUAUUGAAAUCAAAGUGUUAACAAUUCCUUUUAAGUGUAUCUUGCGUUUUAAAUGGAUGUGGUAUCUUAAUAUCAUAUUGUGAUUAUAUUUUUAAUUUUUCAAAGCCACAACCUGACUUAAAAGAGGUCAAUAUUCUUUUCCUCCUUUAAUAAAAUUGUACUGACAAGUUUUAAUAAAAGCUGUGCCUGUUUUAUAUUUUCUUGUUGUGGAUUAUAUACAAAAUUAAAUAUAGAAUCAUUUUAUGUUCAGUUAACAACUUUUAAUUUUUUUCCUAAUUGAAAUGUAAGAGUGUACAUAUUGUUACUAUGUAAGGCUUUGUAAAAUGUAGUCCUUUUAAAGCUAAAAGAAUAGGACCAAAAUAAUUCAACAUAAACAUGUAUUAAUCAUGUGUCAAUUACCAUUUAAAUCUGUACUACUAUUUUACUAUAGAUAACUUACUGAACACCUCCCUUCAAAAUAAA
rnacentral:lncRNA from 10 species